CUAACUUUUGCCUACAGUUCCUGAAGGAGGGGCAAAACCAGAGGAGAGUAAAGCAGAAAGGGGCUCUUCUGUUAGCAAGCUCACCUGCUGGUGGCUCCAGUUCCCUGUAUCAGUGUAUACCUGAGUCAGAGGUCUGGCUGAACCCCCAAGCAAGUUAACAAAUACGGUGAGAAGACAGGAAGAAAAAUGGGAGGGCCUAGCGGGAGAAGAGUCAGAAGUUCCACUGGAUUCAGACACUUCAGGGAAGCACAAGAGGGAGAAGAUCUGUUCCGAUCCAUCAUUCAGUCCAAAUUAGCCAAACAAGAUGAACAGACGGAUGCAUCCAACCACACCAUGGGAGCAGUAUUAGCUCAAGAGAUGGAUGGCAUAGAAUGCCCAAUCGCCUAUGCCAGCAGAAAAUUUAAUCCCCAGGAACAAAGGCCUGGCCAUGCCAAUGUAGUGGCUGACUUCCUACCUCGGUGUUGUCAAGAAGCAAAUUCUCCAGUGAUACCCAUAUAGCUACUGACCUGAAAACCCCGUUAUUUUCACAGCUCUAUGUGUCUUUAUUUUUUCUUAAUAAAAUACCUACUUUGUAACAUUACUUUAAACAAAAGCCAGAUUUUUAAGUUAUUAACAAGUCUGAAUUAUUUUGUAACUAUCAUUACUGAAAUAAUAGAUGGUCCAUUUAUUCACUUUCAUUUCUAGGUUUGUAAUUUUAUUUUUAAGUACAUGGGCAGUUAUAAUGCUAUAGGAAAGCAAAUAAGACGUUCUUUGUGAAUUUGAUAAUUUAGUGCUAUAAUUAAAUAUUUCAUGGACCCAUUUGAAAGCAUCGAAGCAGGGAUGUUGUACAUGGAUUGAGAGGUGUGUCAAUGGUGCAUGUUCCAGUGCUACCCAGGGAAGUGCCUUUUACAUAGUCACCACAUGAGGCUGAAUCACUCAAAGGCACAUUUGGAGACUUUCUAGAAUAUACAGGUCAGUCGCAUCAUAAGCAUCCAUUUAACUUGCACGAAUUCAACUAUA